rnacentral:rRNA from 1 species
AGUGAACGCUGGCGGUAGGCCUAACACAUGCAAGUCGAACGGCAGCACAGUAAGAGCUUGCUCUUACGGGUGGCGAGUGGCGGACGGGUGAGGAAUACAUCUGAAUCUACUUUUUCGUGGGGGAUAACGUAGGGAAACUUACGCUAAUACCGCAUACGACCUACGGGUGAAAGCAGGGGAUCUUCGGACCUUGCGCGAUUGAAUGAGCCGAUGUCGGAUUAGCUAGUUGGCGGGGUAAAGGCCCACCAAGGCGACGAUCCGUAGCUGGUCUGAGAGGAUGAUCGGCCACACUGGAACUGAGACACGGUCCAGACUCCUACGGGAGGCAGCAGUGGGGAAUAGUGGACAAUGGGCGCAAGCCUGAUCCAGCCAUACCGCGUGGGUGGAGAAGGCCUUCGGGUUGGAAAGCCCUUUUGUUGGGAAAGAAAAGCAGCAGGUUAAUACCCCGCUGUUCUGACGGUACCCAAAGAAUAAGCACCGGCUAACUUCGUG